AAACUUUGAAUACAACUCUGAAUGAGAAAGAAAUGCAUAAAGCUGUCCAGUCGCAGUGUGACCCUAAAUGUUGUCCAAAUCCUGUGGUAACAAGCCUGAACGUAGUUAAAGCAAGCAAAACAUUUUGGGGAACCAUGCCAAAUGAGGGGCAACAGCAGUUGCUAAACAAUGCUUUGGAUGUCGAAAAGUGCAAAGACGAGCCAUUGGCAACUGCAUAUAACACAACGCUAAAACGAUCAGACCUGUGCUGUCUGGGACUGGACAAAGACAUUGAGGG